GACGAACGCUGGCGGCGUGCUUAACACAUGCAAGUCGAACGGAAAGGCCCCUUUGGGGGUACUCGAGUGGCGAACGGGUGCGUAACACGUGAGUAACCUGCCCUUGACUUCGGGAUAACUUCAGGAAACUGGGGCUAAUACCGGAUAGGAAUCCUUGCUGCAUGGUGGGGGUUGGAAAGCUUCGGCGGUUUUGGAUGGACUCGCGGCUUAUCAGCUUGUUGGUGGGGUAGUGGCUUACCAAGGCUUUGACGGGUAGCCGGCCUGGGAGGGCGACCGGCCACAUUGGGACUGAGAUACGGCCCAGACUCCUACGGGAGGCAGCAGUGGGGAAUAUUGCACAAUGGGCGGAGGCCUGAUGCAGAAACGCCGCGUGCGGGAUGACGGCCUUCGGGUUGUAAACCGCUUUCAGCAGGGGCGAAGCUUGUGGUGACGGUACCUGCAGAAGAAGCACCGGCUAACUACGUG
rnacentral:rRNA from 1 species